UACGUAGGGGGCAAGCGUUGUCCGGAAUUAUUGGGCGUAAAGAGCUCGUAGGCGGUCUGUCGCGUCGGAUGUGAAAAUCCAGGGCUCAACCCUGGACCUGCAUUCGAUACGGGCAGACUAGAGUUCGGUAGGGGAGACUGGAAUUCCUGGUGUAGCGGUGAAAUGCGCAGAUAUCAGGAGGAACACCGGUGGCGAAGGCGGGUCUCUGGGCCGUAACUGACGCUGAGGAGCGAAAGCGUGGGGAGCGAACAGG
rnacentral:rRNA from 1 species